GACGAACGCUGGCGGCGUGCCUAAUACAUGCAAGUAGAACGCUGAAGGAGGAGCUUGCUUCUCUGGAUGAGUUGCGAACGGGUGAGUAACGCGUAUGUAACCUGCCUCUUAGCGGGGGAUAACUCUUGGAAACGAUAGCUAAUACCGCAUAAGAGUUGAUGUUGCAUGACAUUUGCUUGAAAAGUGCAAUUGCAUCGCUACCAGAUGGAGCUGCGUUGUAUUAUCUUGUUGUUGAGGUAACGGCGCAACAAGGCAACGAUACAUAGCCGAACUGGGAAGGUGGUUCGCCAAACUGGGACCGGGACACGGCCCAGACCUCCUAGGGGAGGAGCCGUAGGGAAUCUUCGGGAAUGGACGGAAGGCUGAACGAGCCACGCCGCGUGAGUGAAGAAGGUUCUCGGGUCGGAAAGCUCUGUUGUAAGGGAAGAAAGAGUGUGAGAGUGGAAAGUUCACACUGUGACGGUACCUUACCAGAAAGCGACGGCUAACUACGUG
rnacentral:rRNA from 1 species